UAGAGCCUGGUGUUGUGAUCUA
rnacentral:siRNA from 1 species